GCUCUCUCCCCCCUCUUCACGCGAUGCACUCCCGGCCCUCUCAUCUCCUCCUCUGUCCCCCGCUCAGCCACCUCCACCACCCCCCACCCUUCUCUCCAUCGCCGGAUCUGCUGCAGAUCAUCAAGGUUCCACGACGCGCGCGUGCUCAUCAAGGAAGCGUCUCGUGGAUCUGCGCUCGUGCGGCCACGACGGAAGGGGCUCGAGGUGGCCGCCUGCCGCCGCCGAAGACCAAGCCCCCACCUUGUCCAGAAUUGCAUCCUACGCCGUGUUCCAGUGAGGAAGGAGGAGCGGCACAGAUAGGGUCCUCACCCAGCCAUGCGGUCGACCACUACGACGCAGCCGUGCGGUGGGCAGGUGCGGUGUUGCGGCAGCGAGGUGGGGGCGGCGGCGUUCGCUCGUGCAGAUCAUAGCUGGGGUGGCCCCGAUCUGGACUCGACAGUCCUCUUUGACUGCAGCCGGAGCUAGAUGGGGCAUGGCGCUGGUCUUGGCCGAGAUCCGCCGCUGCCCAUCGUCUUCACCGUCCGUCAGUCCUUUGCUCCCCUGAUCCCGCUACCCUCCAUGGCGUCGUCUCCUGCGAAGGUCGCCAUUCAUCCUCGAAGAUCGCCGGCCUCCCUUGCGCGGGAUCGCCGGACAUCAUCGCUGCUGUCGUGCUAGGUCUGAUCCUAUUGCCUUGGUAGUUGGAGCGGCAUCGUGGCAUUGCUUGUGGUGGUGGUGGUCGGCGAGCACCUGGAGCCGCUGUACUUGCUAGAACCAUUUAACAGGAGCAGCAACAUGCAAUGGGAACACAACCUCGAUUUCGAGGUGGUUCUGUGCAUGUGCUCUAAUAAGUCGAUGUGCUCUGCGAACUUGCCCACUGUCUCCAGGACAACUAAGGCAUGCGCCCCCGACUGAGAGCCGCCCCUCCUUAUCCCUCUACUCUCACCGCCGCAGUGCCCAGCCGCACCCACUAUGUUCUACAAUAUUGCGUUGUAUUGCCGGCUGAUGCAUCCAUGUGCUAAUCUGCCGGCAGAAUUGAGGGAGGGCGGCCAGCUGCCUGGCGGGUGCACCGGCGAGCACAACGUGGAAGAGCCUAAAAGUCCGUCCGCUACCAGCUUAUUCGCGGAUUCUUUGAUCAUCGUGUUGCUCCGUGCAACGGCUAGCUGGUGUAGGCACUGUGCAUAAGUAGUAUUUCUCAUGUUUAUUGUAUCGAUCAACAGAUUGACUGUCAGGUCCUUCCCUACAGAAUCUUUAGAAAGAAAAAAAACUACAAGAGAAGUACAUAUGAAAAUACUGCAGACUGCAAUUAACAUCUCUUUUGCCAGUUUGGUAUAACUUUUGUGGUUGUUUUAUUAUCCAUUGAGACCCAUGUUUGAUCACCAUAGUUACAUAGAGGAGCAGACCAUUGAUAUGUACAGUAUCAUUACUAUUUUAACAGACAUGAGUUACAUUGUCAUCUUUUCAUGAAGAAAUGAUUA